rnacentral:rRNA from 1 species
CAGCAGCCGCGGUAAUACGGAGGGUGCAAGCGUUAAUCGGAAUUACUGGGCGUAAAGCGUGCGUAGGCGGUUCGUUAAGUCUGUUGUGAAAGCCCCGGGCUCAACCUGGGAAUGGCAAUGGAUACUGGCGAGCUAGAGUAUGGCAGAGGGGGGUAGAAUUCCACGUGUAGCAGUGAAAUGCGUAGAGAUGUGGAGGAAUACCGAUGGCGAAGGCAGCCCCCUGGGCCAAUACUGACGCUCAUGCACGAAAGCUAGGGGAGAAAACAGGAUUAGAUACCCCAGUAGUCCCUGUCUCUUAUAC